UUCGAAUACUCUACAUAGUACCUGUAGAAAGCAAAUAAUAUGAUUAGUUUUGGAGAACAAUAGUUGGGUAAAUAAAAUAUGAUGCUAUUCUUUUCAUUAGUGAUGUGCCAGUGGAAAGUACCCAUAUGCAUGUCUUCACUCUUAACAAUCUCAUGCCACGAUUGCAUCCGCGAUCUAGGGAGAACUUUUCUCAGAUAAUGGGGAAAAAGAUCAAACUAUCAGAUAGGAUUUAUUUUUCUCUCCGAUGAAUUUUUCGUAAUAACGAAAAAACUAUCAUAAGAUCUCUUUUCCUGGUCUGAUCAAUUUUUGUAAUAAUGAAGCAACUAUCAACUAUUGGAUGAAAUGAAUUACCCAAAAAUAUAGGGAGAAUUAUUGGAGUGAAGCUAUAAGAAAUUAAUAAAAUCAUCCAGUAAGUUAGUCCACAUGAAAUCAAUGAACAUACUUCUCAUGUCGCUGGCAGAUUACCUUUGAUAAACUGUAAGCAGAUAGUUAUAGUUUUCUUGUCAAGAAAGGCAAACAAAAUCCAUCAGAAGACGUUAACUUACCAUGCAAUUGUAUGUUUGUGUAUCUUGUCGAC
rnacentral:lncRNA from 1 species